UGUGUGCUGCAGCAGGACUCACUGAUUCCAGACCUCUGUGAUGUAGUUUGCUUCAGCUGUCAGUGGCUGAAGCUGGGGCUGAAGGCAGGACUGG